rnacentral:SRP_RNA from 1 species
GCCGGGCACGGUGACGUGUGCCUGUAGUCCCAGCUACUCAGGAGGCUGGGACUAGAGGAUCUCUUGAGCCCAGGAGUUCUGGGCUGUAGUGCGCUAUGCUGAUCGGGUGUCCGCACUAAGUUCUGCAUCAAUAUGGUGACCUCCCGGGAGUGGGGGACCACCAGGUUGCCUAAGGAGGGGGGUGAACCUGCCCAGGUCAGAAACGGAGCAGGUCAAAACUCCCGUGCUGAUCAGUAGUGGGAUCGCGCCUGUGAAUAGCCACUGCACUCCAGCCUGGGCAACAUAGCAAGACCCUGUUUCU